CAUGGGGUUGGCUUUCACCGUGUCCUCAAUUUGGAUCCCCAGGGCAGAAAAAUUAGGACUUUCUCAGUUAAAGAAAAAGCCAAAAGUGAAACAAAAUCUCUGAAGAGUUGUGUUUCCCCACAGCAGCGACGGCCCCUCAGCACCCGCUUCUGUUCAGCCAGGACCCUCGGGUCAGUCCUGCUGGGUUUUUAGCCAUCUUGACCUCAUGUUUGCAAAUAUUAUUGGUAAUAUAAUGCUCUAUGUACAAAUGUCUGUGUGGCUCAUGUGUAUGUUUCUGUGGUUCAAGUCAGCCACAGACUUCUGGAAUUUCAUUGUACUUUGGUUAAAUGUUGGACUUUUAACUCUUCUACUGUAUGGCUUCUUGAUUUCUCUUGUCCAAUGUGGACCAACUCUAUUUUUGGAAAUAAAUAAGCAUGUAAAUAAAAUGAAUGGGUUUAUGCCACUUACAAGAAAAUGCUUUAUUUAAAAUAUACACUCAGUCUUGUAUAUUUUAUGGUAUCUCGGGGAGCAGCGCAGGCUCAGGCCCCAGCAGCCUUAGUGCUGAGAUACCAUAUUAUGUACAAAUUCACUUCCAAGUGCUUUUGGAAGAAGACUUCCCAUCUCCUGAGCCAAACCCCCAUAGGACCAGCCUUGCGGAGGAGGGAGGGGGGAAUCCAGAAACACGUAGUUUAAGGGGAGUAAAGGAAAGAAACAGGACUUUCCUCUCAACACAAGGCUUCUGGUUUGAGGUGUCCGGGUGCCAGGGAUGCCAUGGGGCGGUUCUGGCCUCCUGCCUGGGAGCACGUGGAGAUCAGGAGCACGAUGACAUCUUUUUUAUUUUUUUACUUUUUAUUUUUUUUUAAAAGAACUUCUCCAUAUAAACCAAUAUUUACCAGUAAUCCUGUGUUUCUGUUUUUGUUUUUUGGCAGACUUUUACCAGUAAAUAUCGGUUUAUUCCUGAAACCAGAAGCCCUAAACAUACCUUUGUUUAUAAGUUUUCCUGCUCUGCAUCUCUGGGAACUGGAGCCCGCAGGACCUAGAGCCUUCUGUUGGUAACGUAGACCCGAGUUUACAAAUUAUUCUUUUACCAUUUUAAAUCCUGCUUUUAAGGACAGAGGUGUUCCCUCCUGCCCACCACGGGAAGUGGUAGAAACCCCUGCAAAUGCCCAAAUUGCUCCUCCUCUCCGAAGCCUGCGGCCUGGGUGGUUCUGAUUGCUGGCAGUUCUGUAAUACAACCUUAAUCUGAGCAGUUGAGGCUGGUCCUACCUUAUCUUCAGACGUCUUGCGGAGGACUCCUGUUACCAGUUUGGUACUCAAAAGCUACACCCCACCAUCAGAAGUCACUUUUUGUUUUUUUCCAAAGGCAGUGAUAGCUCACCCUCUCUAGCUCUAAUGGAAAACAUGAUAAUUGCAAUGCAACUUUCUAAUAAAUUGUUCAUAUAUUCAUAAUUCCGUUGCAAUCCCAAAUUGGAGAAGAGAUCUGUUAAAGUGCACUGGUGUACCAAGGCUCAGAACCACUGCUUUCUCCAGCUCAUAGGAUGCUUUUCCAGACUGUGGAUACGUGUAUGUGUACUGCUGUGUUGAUAAGUAAAAACCAACGAUGGAGUUCGUUGCUUUUAGACAUCCCAAAGAGAAGUUCUCCACCGUUCCCUGUCUGUUUUCUGACUGAAAAGGCGUGUUUGUGAACAGUGUUCACGCGAGCUCUGCCAUCCCACCCUCACAUCAGCUCACACCAAUGCCAGGAUGGGAGGAGUUGCCAGCGGACCUUCCCCAAAAACACCCCGGGCCCGCAGUGACAUCGUCAGGGAGCAGUUCAAACCUGUGUCCUUUGGGCUUUGUGUAAAGCAAACGCAGAACGAGAAAAAUCGAGAUGUUAAAUCCAUUAGAAAACCAAUUCCUUAUUGUACAGUAGUAUGGAGAUCUCUAGUCAACCUGCCAUUAAUAAUAGAUUCUUAUUUUUUGAAUGAUCUAUUUAAAAGAACAGCAAGCAUUGUAUUUGCUAGUAAAUCUGAAGUGUUUACAUGGAAUUACUAAAUAAAUUAUUUGAUCUAA